AUACUGGUUUUGUCAGUAGCUGUGUCUUUUAUUACAAGUUCUGAGUCUCAGGGAUCCAUCUUGCUGGUCCGCGGUCCAAGAUGGACAAAGUCUGUGCGGUUUUUGGAGGCUCCCGGGGGAUCGGCAGGGCGGUAGCCCAGCUAAUGGCCCAGAAGGGUUACCGUCUGGCGAUCGUCUCCAGAAACCUGGAAGUGGCCAAAGUCACCGCCGGCGAGCUCGGCGGAAACCACUUGGCAUUUAGGUGUGAUGUUGCCAAAGAACAAGAUGUUCAGAGUACAUUUCAAGAGAUGGAGAAACAUUUAGGUCCAGUAAAUUUCUUGGUAAAUGCAGCCGGUAUCAACAGGUUGGUCAAAGAUUGAGGUGAAUUUGUGAUACCUGUUUUAAAAGAUUUUUUUUCUUAAUGCGUUGAUGGCUUAGUUUCUUUUCCAUUGCUAUUACGAAAUGUCAUGACCCAAAGCUAUAUAUAAAACAGAGUGUUCGAUUGAGGUUAUGGUUUCAGAGUGUUAGAGCCAUGUUGGUGGAGUAAAGCCAUGGUGGGUAGCAGCAGCCGGGAACCCAUAUUGUGAUUGGCAUAUAGGAGGCAGAGAUAGGGCACAGUGGGAAUGGAGCCAGUCUUUGGAAACCUCAAAGCCCACUCCCAGUGACACACCUCCUCCAACAAGGCCACACUCCCUAAUCCUUCCCAAACUUGGUUCUAAACUGGGGCUCAGCAUUCAAAUAUAUGCGCCUCCGGGGACCAUUCUCACUCCGAACACCACAUCAGUAUGAGACAAUAUAUUAGGCUGUUUUAUUUCUAACUGGAAAGGCUUUUUAGAAAAUUAUCAUACAUUCUUUUAUUUUAAAAAUGGUGUGUGUAUCUGCAUGUUAGUACGUGCGGAGUGUGUGGAUUCCCACAGGAGCGAAAGGAGGGCAUCAAAUCCCUGGAGUUGGUGAUACGGGAGCCUGUGAGCUACUUGGAACUGCACCUGCACUCUCUGUAAGAUCAGUAUGUGUUCUUGAUCAAUGAGCCAUUUCUUUAGCCUAAUUCUUUUAUGAUGAGAUAAAUGUCCAGUUGGAUCAGUCCUAACAACCAUCACCGGCAUAUCACCUAGCAUGCCAGAAGACUCCCUUGGUCUCUUCUCACAGGAAGCCAGUGUUCUGAGUUCCAUUGAUCAUAACAAGCUUAAUAGUAAUGUUUGUAGGAUAAUAAAUGUAAUAAUAAUAGGAUGAGGGGGGGUUUGUUUAGGAGAAAGUAUUUAGAUUUACAGCCCCGUUAAAGAAGGCAAAACUGGCAGUAGCUUAAACCAUUUGUUUACUUGCUACUGUGUUUAGCCACUGGCAGUAUUUAUCAGUCUAUCAGAGAGGUGGAGAAUCCUGCCUUCCCUGUGGCUCCUUUCUGGAUUAUCAACAGCUAUCUUAGUGGUUUUAAAGCCAAGUUCAAAAUGGGACUGCCCAGCACUUAGCUAGAAAGCAUAGCUUAUACUAUAUUUUAAUCCAGAAAAAAUUCUGGUACGUAUGUUUUGACUUGAUUUUUUAAAAAAUAUUUAGUUCUGCUAUUUUAAAAUAGUGUGUGUGUGUGUGUGUGUGUGUGUGUGUGUGUGUGUGAGAGUGCACGUGCGGCGUGCAUAUGUAUGCAGUUGCCUGUGGAGUUCUGAAGUGGAUGUAUAAUACCCUGAAGCUGGAGUUACAGGUGGCUGAGAGCUUUUGGACACAUGUGCUGGGAAGUGAACUCAGUUCUCCUGAUGGAGCACUUGGAGCUCUUACCUGCUGAGCCAGUCCUCUAGCAUCCAGAUUUGAGUUCUGAUCUGCUUGUUAAUGUGCCCACUUUCUUUUUUUGUAGAGACAGUCUUCUAGUAAGAACAAAGACUGAAGACAUGAUCUCUCAGCUGCACACUAACCUCCUGGGCUCCAUGCUGACCUGUAAAGCUGCCAUGAAGACAAUGAUUCAGCAGGGAGGGUCUAUUGUUAAUGUGGGAAGUAUUAUUGGUUUGAAAGGCAACGUUGGCCAGUCUGCAUACAGUGCCACCAAAGGAGGACUCGUUGGGUUUUCACGCUCGCUUGCUAAAGAGGUUGCACGGAAGAAAAUCAGAGUGAAUGUGGUGGCACCAGGAUUUAUUCGCACGGAUAUGACAAGACACUUGAAAGAAGAACACUUCAAGAAAAACAUUCCUCUUGGGAGGUUUGGAGAAACUCUUGAGGUAGCACAUGCCGUUGUGUUUCUUUUAGAGUCACCAUACAUCACAGGCCAUGUUCUUAUCGUGGAUGGAGGAUUGCAGCUCACCGUCUAAUUAGAGAUGAUGUUACUGUGAUGGCGCUUUGGGUCAAGUACACAUUUCCCUAUUAAUUUGACAAUCUCAUCUAUAUGGGUGACAUUUGCUAAUGGAAACAAAUCAGCUAACGGAUGCU
rnacentral:lncRNA from 1 species